rnacentral:rRNA from 1 species
CCUACGGGUGGCUGCAGUGGGGAAUAUUGGACAAUGGGGGGAACCCUGAUCCAGCCAUGCCGCGUGUGUGAAGAAGGCCCUCGGGUUGUAAAGCACUUUCAGUGAGGAAGAACGCCUGGUGGUUAAUACCCAUCAGGAAAGACAUCACUCACAGAAGAAGCACCGGCUAACUCCGUGCCAGCAGCCGCGGUAAUACGGAGGGUGCGAGCGUUAAUCGGAAUUACUGGGCGUAAAGCGCGCGUAGGUGGCUUGAUAAGCCGGUUGUGAAAGCCCCGGGCUCAACCUGGGAACGGCAUCCGGAACUGUCAAGUUAGAGUGCAGGAGAGGAAGGUAGAAUUCCCGGUGUAGCGGUGAAAUGCGUAGAGAUCGGGAGGAAUACCAGUGGCGAAGGCGGCCUUCUGGACUGACACUGACACUGAGGUGCGAAAGCGUGGGUAGCAAACAGGAUUAGAUACCCUGGUAGUC